rnacentral:rRNA from 1 species
GUGGUUGCAGCAGGCGCGAAAACUUUACAAUGCUGGCAACAGCGAUAAGGGAACCUCGAGUGCCAGGUUACAAAUCUGGCUGUCGUGAUGCCUAAAAAGCAUUGCAUAGCAAGGGCCGGGCAAGACCGGUGCCAGCCGCCGCGGUAACACCGGCGGCUCGAGUGGUAACCGUUAUUAUUGGGUCUAAAGGGUCUGUAGCCGGCCGGAUAAGUCUCUUGGGAAAUCUGGCAGCUUAACUGUUAGGCUUUCAGGAGAUACUGUCUGGCUAGAGGCCGGGAGAGGUGAGAGGUACUUCAGGGGUAGGGGUGAAAUCUUGUAAUCCUUGGAGGACCACCAGUGGCGAAGGCGUCUCACCAGAACGGACCUGACGGCAAGGGACGAAAGCUAGGGGCGCGAACCGGAUUAGAUACCCGGGUAGUCCUAGCUGAAGGGAUGGGCUGUACAUGUAUGCCAAGGACUGGCAGGGAAGGGAGGAAUGGAAGGGAGGAGGCGACAGG